rnacentral:lncRNA from 1 species
AACAAAAUUGGAAUGCAUCUCUAUGCAACAAUGAAAGAAAAAUAGCAAUAUUAAAAAUACAUCAAAUACAACUCUAGAGGGAAGUGAAUUUUUAUUCAAGGACUUUUAAGAAUUCUGACAUUGAAAAGACAUCUUUGCUUGAGGAGGCAGCUGAAUGUGUUUCUAACUUACAGUCAAAGAUCAUUUGCAUAGAAUACCAAAAGAGCCAUUUUUUUUUUAAUUCAGAGAAAGAACAUCUAUCAGAGUUUGGCAGGAUGCAUCCUGCCAGGAUUCUUCUCUUUUCUACAGAAACUGACCAUUUGAAAAAGUCUUUCUAUGAUUGGUGCCACAAUAAAGCUCUUGUACCGGAUUCUGCAACAAAAUGUAAAUUAAUGGAAUGUGAAAAAUGGAAGGACUGCAAGGGAAAGGAUCAAAGGGAUUCCUCCCUCUUCUUUCCACAAGUGAACACCUCUCCUGUUCUAGGAGCUGGGGAUUCAGUAGUGAAUGAGACAGGCAAGGUCCCUGCUGUCAUGGAGUCUGCAUCCUAGUGUAGGUAAUAAGACAAUGAACAAAGUAAUUUUCAAAGCAAACAAAAUAGGGGGUGCUCUGGAGAGUACAUGGAGAUCUGUUGUAGAGGGUUGGUUGAGGAGGGUUUCUCUAAGAAUCAAUGCUCAGGCUGAAACUGGAAUGACCAGAUGAAGACAGCCCGGAGAAGAACUGUCAGUGCAUUCCAGGGAGGGAAGACCAAAUGCAAUGUCUUAAGAGGAGAAAAGCCUGGCAGGUUCCUGGAAUAGAAAGAAGGCGUGUGGGCCCAAUGUAUAUGAUGGAGAGAGGUAGGAAAUGAACUCAGAGAGGCUGUCAGCACACAGACCAUAUUCAACAUUGGAGUCCCCUAAGGAGUUUGGAUGUUGUCCUCAGUAUAGUCAUGGGGUGCAUAGCAAUGUUUUGGUCAAUGACAGACUUCAUGCACAACACUGGUCCCAAUAAGAUCAUAAUGGAGCUGAAAAUUCCUGUCACCUAGUGAUGUCUUUAUGAUCCUGACCCUGUGUUUCCCUAGGCUAAUGUGUGUGUUUGUGUCUUAGUUUUUAACAAAAAUGCUUAAAAAGUAAAAAAGAAACAUUUUUAAAAAUAGAAAAAACUUAUAGAAUAAGGAUAUAAAGACAACAUUUUGUACAGCUGUACAAUCUGUGUUUUAAGCUAAGUGUAACAGGAGUCAAAAAGCUUAAAAAUAUUAAAAAGUUUAUCAAGUAAAAAAGUUGUAGUAAGCUAAGGUUAAUUUAUUUUUAUUAUUAUUAUUUUGAGAUGGAGUCUUGCGCUGUCACCCAGGCUGGAGUGCAAUGGUGCAUUCUCGGCUCACUGCAACCUCUUCCUUCUGGGCUCAAGUGAUUCUCCUGCCUCAGCCUCCUGAGUAGCUGGAAUUACAGGCACGCGCCACUGUGCCCAGCUAAUUUUUGUAUUUUUAGUAGACAUGGGGUUUCACCAUGUUGCCCAGGCUGGUCUUGAACUUCUGACCUCAGGUGAUCCACCCGCCUCAGCCUCCCAAAGUGCUGGGAUUAAAAUUCCAUGAGCCAUGGCAUGAGCCACCAUGCCCAGCCUAAUUUAUUAUUGAAGAAGGAAAAUUUUUGUGUAAAUUAAGUGUAGCCUAAGUGCGCAGUGUUUAUAAAAUCUGUAGUAAUGUAUAGCAAUGUCCUAGGCCUUCACAUUCACUCACCACUCACUCACUGACUCACCCAGAACAACUUCUAGUCCUGCAAGCUCCAUUCAUGGUGCGUGCCCUAGACAGGUGUAUCAUUUUUUAUUUUUAUACCAUAUUUUUAUUACAUCUUUUAUAUGUUUAGACAUACAAAUACUUGCCAUUGUGUUACAAUUUUCUACAGUAUUCAGUACAGUAACAUGCUGUACAGGUUUGUAGCCUGGGAGCAAUAGGCUAUACCAUAUAACCUAGGUAAGUAUCAGGCUAUACCAUCUAAGUUUGUGUAAAGUACUCACUGUGAUGUUUGCACAACAAUGAAAUCAUCCAAGGACAAAUUUUUCAGAAUGUACCCGUUGUUAAGUGACGCAUGAUUUAUCUUAAAAAAACAUUGGAGACUUUUGAGUUCAAGAAUAACAUGACAUUAAUAAUUUAAGAA